rnacentral:snRNA from 1 species
GGCUGUGAGGGCGAUCUGGCCGUGACAUCUGUCACCCCAUUGAUGGCCAGGGUUGAUUCGGCUGAUCUGGCUGGCUGGGCGGGUGUCCCCUUCCUCCCUCACCCCUCCAUGUGCGUCCCUCCUGAAGCCGCGUGCUCGGUCGAAGAGGACAACCUUCCCCGCUAGAGGAGGACCGGUCUUCGGUCAAGGGCAUAUGAGUAGCUGCGCUCCCCUGCUAGAACUUCCAAACAAGCUCUCAAGGUCCAUGGUGUAUAUAUACCAUUUUCUUUAUCCAGUCAUCUGUUGAUGAGCAUCUCAGU